GGCCUGUAAAACAGUGACUCAACUGUUCCACGUACCGCGGUGCUCCCCACGAUGCUGCCCUCUUAACCCCCUGCACCUGUUUCACCCCCCCCCACCCCCACCCACCUCUCUCCUGGUGACCACAAUUUGCUCUCUAGAGUUCCGUCUAUUUUUUGGUUUAUCUCUUUUUCUCCUCCUUUGUUCAUUUGUUUGGUCUCAGAUUCCAGGAGCGCAGUCACAUGGGAUUUGUCUUUUUCUGCCUUCACUCGGCGUCAUACCCUCCGGAUCCACCCCGGUUGUGGCAAGUGGCAAGUGGCAAGGUCUCAUUCUUUUUGUCGGCUGAGUAUUUUUCCAGGGUCUAUAUCCACACAUCCGUCCAUGGGCACGCAGCACUCCCUGCAGGUGACACGGCAGCACAGAGCCGGUUCUCCUCAAGGAACAGUGUGUUUGCUGGAAAAGAAGUCCUCAUUUCCAAAGAUGUUUACCAGCACCAGGACACCUAGCGCAGUGCCUUGCAUGUGGUAUACACCAUACUCGUGUAGCUGUGUGGACGGGAACCAACCUAGUACAAGAGGCUUGUUUGUGCACAGGAGAGUGAGCAGGUGAUGGUAGAUAAGACCGAAAGGUUACACUCACCGGCAAACAUUUUUACACUUUAUUUAAUCCACUAUUUGUAACUAGUUGACCCAGUGAUGUUGGUUUAAAGCAGUGCUGUUCAGCCUUGGUCAGACACUGUGAUCACCUGAAGAGCUCUAAAAAUGCUGAUGCCCAGGUCCCACUCCAGGGAUUUGGAUUUGAUUGAUCUGUUGUAAUUUGGGUUCUGGGAAUUUCAAAAGCCACUGCCCACCCCCCUGCUGACUUAAUAAGGAGCCCGUGCCGUGAUCCUGGAGACCCAGGAUCGAAUCCCACAUCGGGCUCUCGGUACAUGGAGCCUGCUUCUCCCUCUGCCUGUGUCUCUGCCUCUCUCUCUCUCUGUGUGGCUAUCAUAAAUAAAUAAAAAUUAAAAAAAAAAAAUAAGGAGCCCGUGGUGAGGACCACAGAUUCAAGGCCAGGGAUGCAUCUGCUGUAAGUGAUGUGUGUGCGCUCUGGGGUUUUAGAAAACAGCUCUGCCCUGUUAAAAUCAAAGGACUACUUCAGAUAACUCAGCUAUUUGUCUAAACUACAAUAGGAGGAAAUGUCUUCUUAGCAGAUCUAUCUUUAUGUCAGUUGCUUUUAGAAUAGGAGGUUGCUCCGGGCACAGCAGUUUGAUUUAGUCUGUGUUGAAAAUCAUUAAUGGCCUACAGAUACCAAAAAGGGAUGAAAAGAAUUUGCAAACAUGUGGAGUGUAUUAUACAUGUUUUCAAAUUUCUAUGAUUAGAAAGGAAAACUGUAUUGCUGAAGACUUGAUUUCCUAAACUCAGGCCUCAGCCAUUUCCCUAAAUUAUCCCAAGUCUUUCCAAGACACUCAGCAUUCUCUGAAGGGGAUUAUUCCCCAUGUGAAGAGUAUGAGAUGGACGCCGAUUUCAAGGGAAUUCUGCUUCUAUUGCAGAAGUCUCACUUUCUAGAACCUCCGAUGACUAGGGAAGCUGCAGGAGCAGUAUGAACUAGUGGAGUCAGGGGAGCUCUGCAGUCAGGUGGAGUCAGGAGGGUCCCAGCCCAGCCACUUAGUAGCUCUGGGGCUUUGGACAGACUUCUUGACUUGGACGACAGUUGUAUAAACCUCUUGCAAGAAGAAGCAUAAGGGUACUGAUUACAAAAACAGCAGCAAUUCAUUCUUCCUGGCAGCGCACGCCCUCUGCAAUGAGAUUUUACAGCUGCUCCCUUUCAGAGGCAGACUCUCUUCAUCCAAACUUUGCAUCAGAUCUGGUCUUACUUGCUCUGGCCAAGAGAAUGCAGUGGGACCCUGACAGUAGGCCAGUCUUAGAUGCUUCUGUUUUUCCUUUCAGAAUACAGCUGUCUCCAAGUCCAUGUUAGCCUUGGAGAGGCUCCAGGUCCAGCCUUAGCUGGAGGAUGAGAUGCCAUGAGGAAGAGAACCACGGUGCCCCCUUGACAGUCAACUCACCCCUCAGCAGCAGAGCCCCCUGGUCAACCAGCAGCUGACCACACAUGCAUGGAGGAGCCGAGCAGACACCAGACGGGUCCUGCUGAGCCCAGCCUAAGCUGCUGACCAGCUCAGUCAUGAGCUAGGUAAGUACUGGGGCGGGUUGUUACUCAAUAGCUAACUAAUACAUCAGUUGCAGAUAAGAUGUCAAGAUGCAAUGAUGUAUUAGUUAUAAGUUACUUGGCAAACAGUAGGCAUCCUAUAGGUGCUGAUUUCCUUCUUCCUUUAUAGAAAGUUGCAUCUCUUGAGUUAAACAGAAAUAAAUAUGUAGAUGCAGAUGUAUGUGAUUGGUGCUUAAACUCACACAAAACCGCACACUGCAAGAGGGAAUAGGUGACCAGAGCCUGACCACUAGGGCUCAAGGCCAGAUUGCAAAAUAAGAAGUUUCCUUUUAUUCCCUCCAAAUCUAAACUCUGGAGACCAAGGCUGAAGAUAGAUCUGAAGACACAGAGUUCCCCACCUUCCUCUCCACACUGUCUGACCUCUGGGAAGGGGGAAUGGACCCCCCAAGAAGCAAUUGGGAAGCUCUGGUCUACUUUGGGAAACUUCUUCUCAGGGCACCAUCUCUUCUCACCUUGGGCCAAGGAGAGAGGUUGGCAGGGAAGGGGUGACACCUCUGGAAGAGAAGGGGAUGUUCAGGCAAGUCACCUCCCUGAGGUCGAGAAGAGUCACCCUUCCAGGGGGGCAGCCUCUCAACAUGAGCACUCAGCACCUAGACUGUGGCUCCUCUAAGUUAUGAGGUGCUGAAAAGUGCAAAAUAGAGUGAAUUUCAAAGAUUCAAUACAAAAAAAAAGGGAAAAUAUUUCAUCAAAACUUUUCUGUUGAUUACACCUUAAGAUAAUAUUUUACAUAUAUUAGGCUAAAUAAGUUAAUAGUAUUACAGUCAGUUUCACCUGUUUCUUUUUAUUUGCUGUAACGUUGCUGAAAAUGUAAAACUACAGACGUGGCUCACCUCCUGUUUCUACUGGACAUUCCUGUCUGAGAGGACUGCCUCCUUUUCAAAGCUCGGGGUGCUUCCUUGGAAGAGCAGAAGCCAGGAAGGUUAGAAAAUCUGAAGUUUUAAAAGAAUCUGGCAUUUUACUGUCCCCAUUUGUGAAUAAGGAAAUUAAUAAGGCUUUGAUUUUAAGGUUUAUAUUCAUAAAAAGCAUUCGUUUCAACAUCGUGCUUGGUAAUUAUUUUGCACGGGGAUUGCAGAAGCAGGGCAAAGACACUUUCCUUGGCUCCAGGCCUUUACUAUUUAGCUUCUCGCAGAUUGGCUCUAGGUCCAGAUAUUUCCAUGUUCCACAGACUCCCUUCCUCCAGGGUGAUUAAGGAAUAAGGCUGAAGUGCAGGUUGACACUCUCACAAGCCAGAGGACUUUUCUUUCUGUGGUUUACUAGCAUUUUUAGUUUCUAAUAUCAGAAAUGCCAAUUGCCCGCCACAGCUGGGAAAAAGGACAAGAUGGAUUGAGUCUAGAAUCACACCGCAGCCAACUUUCACAGGCAUGUGCAUUACCAAAGAGGGACAUGGCUUCCAAGAAUUCCAGUACGUUCACAGGACUUGGUCCAUACCAAGUAUUAGACUGUGACAGUCCCCCAGCGCCAUCACUGGUAUAGAAAUGGGACCGUGUGCCGAAUCCACACAGGGCUGGGAUGCUACGAAGAGAGCAAAUCUCCACAAAAACACUAAAUACUAACGCUCUUCAAUGAAAGCAAGCAUGAUGGCCGUUAGUUGAUGCAAGGCAACUUAUUUUUCUUUUCCAAUAAACAUUUUCAAGGAGAGAAGCCCAGCCUCCAUGCAGCAGUCCUUCCAGGGCUACUGGGGGAUCCAACUGAAUUCAAAAGGAAUAAAGAUGAAAUCCACAUUUUAAUUGUAAGCAGAUGUGCCCUGAAGAACUUUCAGAGCCAUAAAUCCACGUGUAUAUUAAUCAUCACAGUACCGUGAGAUGCAGGGAGAUGAUAAAGCAUGUGCCACUUAUUACAUAUUUUUUCUCACCCCCUCUGUCAACUGCUUAAGUUCCUAAGUGUAGAGACUCUCUGAGAAAAAAAAAAAAUCCCAUUGACAUCAAUGUGGACAUUUAAUAUUAUAAGAUUACUUUUUUUUUUCAUUUUCUUUGUUAACUUUAAAGCCAAAGAUAUAUAGUUCUACAUCUAACAUAUUGCAUUUUCAUAGAAACUCUGAAUGUGAAAUUCUGAGUUCAAUGUGAAAAGCUUCCUUUCUUCAAUUACUAACAAUAAUUGCAAAAUUGCCCAUUCUACGAAGAAUACUCUUCCGGGAACUGUGGGGAGAUGGAAAAGAAAUAAUCAAUAUUGUUCCCGUGACACGGCAAGUCCCACAAAGCUGGGGCAGAGAGAGAGUCUCUCUGGGGCUUAGCUUAGCACAGCGGGAGCUUAAUUAAGAGCUUGUUGAU
rnacentral:lncRNA from 1 species